UCAUCUUUUAUUUGCAGUUACAUUAAGAAGCUCAUAGAGGACAGAGCGGUUGGUGAGGAAGGUGUCGAGUUACUGCUGUACUGCAACUGGGAAAAUCCGCAUUUCGCACGUGCUCCACUCGUAUGGAAUAGUAGCUUAUGUCGAAAGGCUGGUUUUAGUAUAAUGCAGCAUUCGCAGCAUACCCUCACUGUCGCCGAGCCGUUGAAGAAAUUUUGGAUAAAUAAACGUACAAGAAAUAGUUCUGAUACUAGCACGUCCAUAUUCUUGCUAAGGGUCAUCAAAAAAUUCCAUGUGUUGUAAAUAAUAAAGGGAAUGCCGGAUUAUACUAAAGCCAGCUUCCCGACAUAAACUACUAUUCCAUACGAACACAGAAAUAUAAAUGUAUCUAAAACUGAAUAACUCAAAUCAAAUUGGAUUGCAUUUGCAUAAUAUACCUAAUAUUGGAAUCUGUUUUGAUCGUAAAAAAUACAACUUGCAAUCAUUUAGAUUAUAGUUUUGAAAGAAAUUGAUUGCAAUCGUAAAUUAUGUAAAAAUUGUCAAUAACAAUCUGCCUAAAAUUUCUUUUCUACAUUUAAAGUAUUUUAU